rnacentral:rRNA from 1 species
UACGAAGGGGGCUAGCGUUGCUCGGAAUCACUGGGCGUAAAGCGCACGUAGGCGGCUUUCUAAGUCAGGGGUGAAAUCCUGGAGCUCAACUCCAGAACUGCCUUUGAUACUGGAGAGCUUGAGUCCGGAAGAGGUGAGUGGAACUCCGAGUGUAGAGGUGAAAUUCGUAGAUAUUCGGAAGAACACCUGUGGUGUAGACGGCUUACUGGACCGCAACUGACGCUGAGACACGAAAGCGUGGGUAGCAAACAGG